GCCUCUGUAGCUCAGUUGGUUAGAGCGCUGCACCGGAAUCGCUGGGCUGCAGGUUCGAUUCCUGCCAGGGGGC
rnacentral:tRNA from 1 species